AAUCUUGGCUCCCUUCACUCUGCAGAGCUCCUAACCUAAUUGGUCUCUCCUAACUUGGGAAGAUGGGGCAGAAAGGCAACGCUCUGAGCCAAUCCAGAGGGGCGAGCAAAGCACCCGUCCUGAAGGCCUAGAGGGUGCCCCCUGUGCCCCGCGGCUCCCCAGCACCUGCUUCCCGUUUCACAUCUUGAAGGAAGCACACCAUUCUGGAUGCUUGCAGAAGUCUUCCUGUUUGACUAGAGGAUGACAUGGAAACCCUGGAUCCUAGUCCUGCCUGUUCCCAAGCCAGGGAGGAAACUCCCGGCCGAAUAAAGCCAGUUUCUUUAA